GCCCGGGCUUCGGCCUGGUUAUUCAUAACCCUUUGUUGUCCGACUCUGUUGCCUCCGGGGCGACCCUGCCUUCGGGCGGGGGCUCCGGGUGGACACUUCAAACUCUUGCGUAACUUUGCAGUCUGAGUAAACUUAAUUAAUAAAUUAAAACUUUUAACAACGGAUCUCUUGGUUCUGGCAUCGAUGAAGAACGCAGCGAAAUGCGAUAAGUAAUGUGAAUUGCAGAAUUCAGUGAAUCAUCGAAUCUUUGAACGCACAUUGCGCCCCCUGGUAUUCCGGGGGGCAUGCCUGUUCGAGCGUCAUUUCACCACUCAAGCCUCGCUUGGUAUUGGGCAACGCGGUCCGCCGCGUGCCUCAAAUCGUCCGGCUGGGUCUUCUGUCCCCUAAGCGUUGUGGAAACUAUUCGCUAAAGGGUGUUCGGGAGGCUACGCCGUAAAACAACCCCAUUUCUAAGGUUGACCUCGGAUCAGGUAGGGAUACCCGCUGAACUUAAGCAUAUC
rnacentral:rRNA from 1 species